GUGGGGAAUCUUCCGCAAUGGACGAAAGUCUGACGGAGCAACGCCGCGUGAGUGAUGAAGGUCUUCGGAUUGUAAAGCUCUGUUAAUCGGGACGAAAGAGCCUAGUGUGAAUAAUGCUAGGAAGUGACGGUACCGGAAUAGAAAGCCACGGCUAACUACGUGCCAGCAGCCGCGGUAAUACGUAGGUGGCAAGCGUUGUCCGGAAUUAUUGGGCGUAAAGCGCGCGCAGGCGGAUCUGCCAGUCUGUCUUAAAAGUUCGGGGCUUAACCCCGUGAUGGGAUAGAAACUACAGAUCUAGAGUAUCGGAGAGGAAAGUGGAAUUCCUAGUGUAGCGGUGAAAUGCGUAUAUAUUAGGAAGAACACCAGUGGCGAAGGCGACUUUCUGGACGAAAACUGACGCUGAGGCGCGAAAGCCAGGGGAGCGAACGGGAUUAGAAACCCCGGUAGUCC
rnacentral:rRNA from 1 species